rnacentral:lncRNA from 1 species
GAGUUACCACCCACUGAUCUAAGUCAUUCUUGAACACGAUUAUGAGUGUUUUCAUACAUAUGUGAUGCAUUGAGUAACUGAAUGGAUCCCAUCUGGGAGAUAUAUAAAGUGGACACUGAAGUGACUCAUCAGGCAGCUGCAGAGAAUACACAGAUGAGAAUGGCAGGGAACUCCACCAUGAAGAUGCUGAGCAUCAUCCACACCAUUUCCAGAAGAUGGAAAAAGCCACAUGACUGUGGAACAGUAAGUGUCCCUUUUGAAAUGUACAUGUUACAAAAAACAUAAAAAGAAAAUCCUUUUAAAAACUCAGUGAAUUUGAGACUGUUAUAAUCAGAAAUAAUUAGAAUACAAAAUGCAGCAGCAUUUUAAGGGAUUCACCAAUUGACGGUUACUUAUAUUUUAUUUUGUUUCUCAGCCACAAAAUUGAGGAAGAGUUUGAAGCUCACGGCUGCCAGAGUGAAACCUUGGGCUCUGGUAUUAGCUGCCUUGUACAUGGCUGAUUGGAACACAAAGGAAAAUAAUCUUGUAAGUUGUUGAUGAAAACAAGACUACUUGAAAUUUUAAUAUGAAAAACAUCCUUCAUUGUCUGGCCUAUCAAAUAUUUAAUGGUUCUAAACUUCAAGUUAUUCUGAGAACAAGAUAGGAUAAUAAUGUAUAAGUCACAAAAUUAAAAUUGUCAAGU